AGAAAAUAUUCUUUCUACACUGUCAGAAGAAGAUACUGCUGUAAAAAGUGAGAUUAUUAUUUCAACAGUCUCUGAAUCCAUGUGCUUAAGUGGCUUCCACCACUUCACUGCUGUGAUUUUUCUUUAAAACAUCAUCAGCAAUCAUAUUUCUUGAAUGGUUUUUAUUCCAAAAC